UCCACACUUUGGCGGGAGCAUUAGAUCGCGCGCUAUGGGUCGAGCACGGGAACGCGUGCGAGCGUGAGGACUGUGAGGCGCUCGACAAGGACAAAGGCAAGAAGAGGCAGGGCGGUGACUCGGGGGGACAGUCUAGCUCCAAGAGGCCCCCGAAGUAUCCACGCUCUCAGCCCAAGGGUCGUGGUGCAGAGCGAUGCGUCUUUUGCGGCGGAGACCACCGACCGGGUGUAUGUGAGCAUCGUCGUGGGAGGUGCUUCAAGUGCGGGCAAGCGGGGCAUGUCAUCCGCGACUGUCCUCAGGGAGGAGCUUCGCCCGCUACGUCGACUGCAUCGACCCAUCGACCCCGGCGGUUCCAGCUCGCUAUGCUUUGCCCCCUCCUGCAGCAUCUACUGGGCGAGCGGCGGCGCCACGCCAACCAGAGCCUGCACGAUCUGCGCCGAGCGGGAGAAUGUAUGCUGCACCUGUACAUGUUGAGGAGCCUUCUGAGAUCGGCGAGCGCAAUGUUGUGGCAGGUAUAAUUUUGGUUAAAGAUGUUCGAGCUAGAGCUCUAUUUGAUACAGGCGCAUCACACUCAUUCAUUAGUCGAUCAUUU
rnacentral:lncRNA from 1 species